GACGAACGCUGGCGGCGUGCUUAACACAUGCAAGUCGAACGGUGAAGCGCCUUCCUUUUUGGUGGGUGUGGAUGAGUGGCGAACGGGUGAGUAACACGUGAGUAACCUGCCCCCUUCUUCUGGAUAACCGCAUGAAAGUGUGGCUAAUACGGGAUAUUCUGGGUCUGUCGCUUGAUGGGUCUGGGAAAGCUUUUGUUUCGGUGGGUGAUGGUCUCGCGUCCUAUCAGCUUGUUGGUGGGGUGAUGGCCUACCAGGGCGGUGAGGAGUAGCCGGCCUGAGAGGGUGGACGGUAACAGAGGGGAGGAGAGACGGAGAAGACUACGAGAGGAGGCAGUAGGGAGGAAUAUGGAACGGGGGACAGAAGGAUGAUGCAGCGACGCGGCAGGAAGGAAGGAGGCCGUAGCGUUGUAAACUGCUAUCGGGAGUGAAGCAGGGUUGCAGUGAUUGUGGGUGGGUUGACGGUAGCUGGAUAAGAAGCGACGGCUAACUACGUG
rnacentral:rRNA from 1 species